rnacentral:rRNA from 1 species
GUCUACGGCCAUACCACCCUGAACACGCCCGAUCUCGUCUGAUCUCUGAAGCUAUGCAGGGCCGGGCCUGGUUAGUACUUGGAUGGGAGGUUUGAAACACAUAAACC